CUGGCUUCAAAUUGCUCAGGUCCCUCUGUGGUGUUGAUCAAGAUGUUCAACAGGAUGAGAUCUGGCACUGGUCUGCAUGCUGUGAAAAGUGUCUGUCCUAACCGCAGCCCCCCGCUGCUGUGUUUUUGGAAUAAUAUAGCAGGAGACUAGCUAUUUGAUAGCAGGAGACUAGCUAUUUGGAUAAAAAGGGGAAUUUCAUCGCUGAAAAUCAUGCAUGUGGAAAAAAACACAUCUGUGUUAAAUUUUUUGGAGAAUUUCCCACGUCACAUCUAAGGAGUUUGCAGGAAAAACUCUAAACUCUGUCAGUCACCAAAUGCGCCAAGCAGAACUAUGCUGUUUGUCCCUGGAGGUUCUCGCACUGCAGCAACUCGUCUUGCCGUCCUGGAGCAAAGGCUUAUAACAACUAGGAGUGGACGACUAAUUAGAAGCACAAAAAACUAUUAGUCUGGAGUCUGAUGUCUCAUGAUUAACCACUGCAGCCUUGUGCUUGUGAGUCAUACACCCUCUGGGCUGGAGGGAGUCCCCACAGUUGAAGUGGAUUUCUCUAUAUUUAAAACAGAAGUUGGAGGGCUGCCAGGAGAUUAAUAAUGGCUCCUGAUAACAACCCAGUCUGUACAUCUGUUUCAAGCAAAAAGCAACAAGCAACCCUGAGAAUACUUCAAAACUUGGCUAAUUGACAUUCUUCCACCACAGAUGUUUUGUCUAUAUUCGGUACGCAAAAUCAGUGGGACAGUCUGAUUAAAGCCUCCAGCUUUGCCUCGCUCCUAACUGACCAAGCCAGCUCCAGAUGUUGCAGUGGAAACCUCAGGCUUUUCCAAACAUGUCCUCAUAUGAAUCAGCUCAACACUGGAAACAUUUUUCCCAUGAUUCAUGCUGCUUUUCCAGCGCCUGUGCUUGCCUUUUGUUACCCUACUGGCAACAUUUGUCUGAUUCCAGGACAUGUGAGUAACAGGCAGUGCAGUGUUCAACAAAGAAGGCACUGUUCCCCAAUAAAAACACAGACAUAAUUUACGUCAUAUGAUCAUUAAAAAGAAAAAAACAUCUGAUGAGAUGAUCAACAAGACAAACAAAGAAGAAAGAUUUUGAAAACUGAUUUAGAGGGAAUAAGUGAUUCCACAAAAGGUCUUUGGAAUGAGAAAAAAUUUUGUUAAUCCCUUUCCCCUCCUCCUUUUCAUGUAUUUUCAAUUGAUAAAGGAAACAAUGGCAGCCAGAA